AGCCUGUGCUCUACCUGCAAGGCCCCUCCCAGAGCCAUUGACUCCACCCUCCUCAGAGGACUCCCUCUAUGUCAGCUGCCAAAGGAGCUCAGGCCCUCUCCCCUCCUUUCUGACUAGCAAACUCCUACUCAUCCUGCAAUACCUAGGACACAGGGAGGAAGCAGCCUGCACACUACUCCUGCACACAGCACUGGAGAUUGUGUCUGGAGCCUCAGUUACCCACAUCCUGUGCUCUGCCAGCUGAGCUGCCUCCCUGGGCUAAGCUCUGCCAUGCUUACCCUACACCUCUUGACCUGCCAGUAUAUAAGAGCUCUACCAGAAUUCUGGACACUUCCAGAAUUGAGCC